GACGAACGCUGGCGGCGUGCUUAACACAUGCAAGUCGAACGAAAGGCCCUGCUUUUGUGGGGUGCUCGAGUGGCGAACGGGUGAGUAACACCUGAGUAAUCUGCCCCUGACUUUGGGAUAACUUCAGGAAACUGGGGCUAAUACCGGCUAGGAGCCUCUGCUGCCUGGUGGGGGUUGGGAAGUUUCGGCGGUUGGGGAUGGACUUGCGGCUUAUCAGCUUGUUGGUGGGGGAGUGGCUUACCAAGGCUUUGACGGGUAGCCGGCCUGAGAGGGUGACCGGCCACAGUGGGACUGAGAUACGGCCCAGACUCCUACGGGAGGCAGCAGGGGGGAAUAUUGCACAAUGGGCGGAAGCCUGAUGCAGAAACGCCGCGUGCGGGAUGACGGCCUUCGGGGUGUAAACCGCUUUCGCCUGUGACGAAGCGUGAGUGACGGUAAUGGGUAAAGAAGCACCGGCUAACUACGUG
rnacentral:rRNA from 1 species